rnacentral:tRNA from 1 species
GCUGGCGUAGCUUAAUUAAAGCAUGAUGCUGAAGAUGUCAAGAUGGGCCUAACUAAGCCUCGCCAGCA